AAUCUUCCGCAAUGGACGAAAGUCUGACGGAGCAACGCCGCGUGAGUGAUGAAGGUUUUCGGAUCGUAAAACUCUGUUGUUAGGGAAGAACAAGUAUCGUUCGAAUAGGGCGGUACCUUGACGGUACCUAACCAGAAAGCCACGGCUAACUACGUGCCAGCAGCCGCGGUAAUACGUAGGUGGCAAGCGUUGUCCGGAAUUAUUGGGCGUAAAGCGCGCGCAGGCGGUUUCUUAAGUCUGAUGUGAAAUCUUGCGGCUCAACCGCAAGCGGCCAUUGGAAACUGGGAGACUUGAGUGCAGAAGAGGAGAGUGGAAUUCCACGUGUAGCGGUGAAAUGCGUAGAGAUGUGGAGGAACACCAGUGGCGAAGGCGACUCUCUGGUCUGUAACUGACGCUGAGGCGCGAAAGCGUGGGGAGCGAACAGG
rnacentral:rRNA from 1 species